UACGGAGGGUGCGAGCGUUGUCCGGAAUCAUUGGGCGUAAAGGGCGCGUAGGUGGCUUCUUAAGCGUGCGGUGAAAGCCUGGGGCUCAACCCCGGGUCGGCCGUGCGAACUGGGGGGCUGGAGCACUGUAGAGGCAGGCGGAAUUCCGGGUGUAGCGGUGGAAUGCGUAGAGAUCCGGAAGAACACCGGUGGCGAAGGCGGUCUGCUGGGGUGAGGCUGACGCUGAUGCGCGACAGCGUGGGGAGCAAACAGG
rnacentral:rRNA from 1 species